ACGGCGAGUGAAGCGGGAAAAGCUCAAGCUUAAAAUCUCCAUAACUUUUAGUUGUGGCGAAUUGUAGUCUAAUGAAGCUGUUGUCAGCAUCGUUAUCUGGGUCAAGUCCCUUGGAAGAGGGCAGCAUAGAGGGUGAUACUCCCGUCUUUCCCUGGAUAAUGUUUGUGUACGACACGCUUUCUUUGAGUCGAGUUGCUUGGGAAUGCAGCUCAAAGUAGGUGGUAAAUUCCAUCUAAAGCUAAAUAUAGGUGCGAGACCGAUAGCGAACAAGUACCGUGAGGGAAAGAUGAAAAGAACUUUGAAAAGAGAGUUAAAGAGUACCUGAAACUGCUGAAAGGGAAUCGGAUCGUUUCCAGUGUUUUUAAUCCUUGGUAUAUUCCAGUGGGGAAUGGUGUUGUUGAUAUGUUUUGGUAUCAGUUUAUUCUGUGCCGGAUGUGUUGAUGAUGUUGUUUGCUGCUGCACUGUGCCUUGGUGUGACGUCAUAGUCAGUUUGUAUCUCGUGGGAAAUGAUCAUUGAGGAGGUAGUCUAGCAUUUAUGUUAGAUGUUAUAUCUUGGUGAUUAGUAGUCAUGGGUGAGACUGAGGGACCUACAACAUGCAAUAAGGGUAUUGAUGGGAUCUUGUUUGACAUAAUUUUAGGACAGCUUGUCUGUGCUUGAGUUUUUGUUGGAUAACUUUUCUGUUGACAACCUUCGCUGUUCGGGACUUUGGCGAAAUGGAACGAUCCGUCCCGUCUUGAAACACGGACCAAGGAGUCUAACAUGUGUGCAAGUAUUAGGGUGGCAAACCCAAAUGCGCAAUGAAAGUAAAUAGUAGCUUUUAGUUACUUGAGGUAGGAAAGAGUUGUCAUUUUACGAUGAUGAUUCUGGCACUAUCGACCAAUCAUGAGCCUACGUGGCGAAAGAUUUGAGUAUGAGCAUAUAUGUUGGUACCCGAAAGAUGGUGAACUAUGCCUGAAUAGGGUGAAGCCAGGGGAAACUCUGGUGGAAGCUCGUAGCGAUUCUGACGUGCAAAUCGAUCGUCAAAUUUGGGUAUAGGGGCGAAAGACUAAUCGAACCAUCUAG
rnacentral:rRNA from 1 species